UACGGAGGGUGCAAGCGUUAAUCGGAAUUACUGGGCGUAAAGCGUGCGUAGGCGGUUUAUUAAGUCAGAUGUGAAAGCCCCGGGCUUAACCUGGGAACUGCAUUUGAAACUGGUCAACUAGAGUAUGGUAGAGGAAAGUGGAAUUUCUGGUGUAGCGGUGAAAUGCGUAGAUAUCAGAAGGAACAUCAAUGGCGAAGGCAACUUUCUGGACCAAUACUGACGCUGAGGUACGAAAGCGUGGGUAGCAAACAGGAUUAGAUACCCUGGUAGUCCACGCCGUAAACGAUGAUAACUAGCCGUUGGGGGGAUUUACCCCUUAGUGGCGAAGCUAACGCGUUAAGUUAUCCGCC
rnacentral:rRNA from 1 species